GACGAACGCUGGCGGCGUGCCUAAUACAUGCAAGUAGAACGCACAGUUUAUACCGUAGCUUGCUACACCAUAAACUGUGAGUUGCGAACGGGUGAGUAACGCGUAGGUAACCUGCCUGGUAGCGGGGGAUAACUAUUGGAAACGAUAGCUAAUACCGCAUAAUAUUGAUUAUUGCAUGAUAAUUGAUUGAAAGAUGCUAUUGCAUCACUACCAGAUGGACCUGCGUUGUAUUAGCUAGUAGGUGAGGUAACGGCUCACCUAGGCGACGAUACAUAGCCGACCUGAGAGGGUGAUCGGCACACUGGGACUGAGACACGGCCCAGACUCCUACGGGAGGCAGCAGUAGGGAAUCUUCGGCAAUGGACGAAAGUCUGACCGAGCAACGCCGCGUGAGUGAAGAAGGUUUUCGGAUCGUAAAGCUCUGUUGUAAGAGAAGAACGGGUGUGAGAGUGGAAAGUUCACACUGUGACGGUAUCUUACCAGAAAGGGACGGCUAACUACGUG
rnacentral:rRNA from 1 species